UAGGGAAUAUUGGACAAUGGGUGCAAGCCUGAUCCAGCCAUGCCGCGUGCAGGAAGAAAGCCUUCUGGGUUGUAAACUGCUUUUUUCAGGGGAUAAAAUACUCGUGCGCGAGGAAUUGAAAGUACCUGGAGAAUAAGCCACGGCUAACUACGUGCCAGCAGCCGCGGUAAUACGUAGGUGGCAAGCGUUGUCCGGAUUUAUUGGGUUUAAAGGGUGCGUAGGCGGUCAAUUAAGUCAGUGGUGAAAUACGGCAGCUUAACUGUCGAGGUGCCAUUGAUACUGGUUGACUUGAGUACUGAUGAGGUAGGCGGAAUGGACGGUGUAGCGGUGAAAUGCUUAGAGAUCGUCCAGAACACCGAUAGCGAAGGCAGCUUACUAAGGAGUAACUGACGCUGAGGCACGAAAGUGUGGGGAUCAAACAGG
rnacentral:rRNA from 1 species